UCUCUAAACCCCACAGCUCGUAUGCGCGCGUGUUAUAAGGACUCGGUCCGCUGUCAGUGGUUCAUGUCUCCCUGUGAUGCGAAGCUUGACCCGUGAUGUAAUUCCUCUGCACGCAUAAAUAUAGUUGUUGGGGCUAAAAAAGCACGGCAUGGCCGAGUUUUGUUGCUGAACGGUGGUCAAGUCACUCCGGACCUGCAAACUUGGACUCGGAGUGUGAUUUCAGGGCGCUCGCGCUACCACAUCGUGCGCGACUUCAUGCCGCUCAACAGCGCGAGCCGCGGCUUCGCUUGUGAGUAAGCGCUUUUGCUCUGUGGAAUCUUUUUUUGGGGGGCGGCGAGGGGGGACCGUGGACACCAAAAUAGACAAAGAGCAUAUUUUUAGAGUAUUUGAACGCCUGCAGACAGUGACGCGUGCCUCCGUGUUGGUCAGGAGGAUGAGUGUUCAUUCGGCCCUCUUGCCGUUACUGGUGUUGGGACUCGUGGCGAGCUCGGUGCGCUGCGCUCCUCUGCCCAUGGAGCGACGCUGGGAGACUCUUUACUCGCGCUCUUUGGCCCGGAUUCCCGGGGAGAAGCGAGAAGUCAACCGGGACAGUGACUAUCUCACGGGCAUUAAGAGACUGCGGCGCCUCUACUGCAACGUGGGCAUUGGGUUUCAUCUCCAAGUAUUACCCGACGGUAGGAUUACUGGGGUGCACAACGAAAACCGUUACAGUCUUCUUGAGAUAUCUCCGGUCGAGCGCGGAGUCGUGACACUGUACGGCGUCCGGAGCGAGCUAUUCGUGGCCAUGAACAGCAAGGGGAAGCUCUACGGAUCUGUGCAGUACACAGACGAGUGCAAAUUUAGAGAGACUCUCCUGGCAAACAACUACAAUGCGUACGAGUCCCUGGCAUACCCAGGCAUGUACAUCGGACUGAGCAGGACAGGCAAGACAAAAAAAGGAAACCGAGUGUCAACAGCAAUGACGGUGACACAUUUCUUGCCAAGAAUCUAAACGAACACGGGAAGAAGGCACAACAAAUGCAGCCAAUGCAGGGGGAAGCCCGGACGAUGCACUUUCUACAAAUCUUACACACGAGACUCCUCUUCCCAGUUUUGCUGACGACAAAUGUUUUUCCUGUUGCUGCGUCGCCCCUCGGCUGAAGUCCUGGAAGGCCACUAGCUGCGCCUUGUCACGUUUGAGCUAUCUUUACCCUGUGAUUUACUUUUAGAAAUGAUAAUCAUGGUGGAAAUAUUUGAAGACAGCUGUGAGACUGCACUAUAUGCUUGACCGGUAACCCUAUAUUUUUCUUGAUAUAUUUUGUUAAAUAGAACAUUGCAUAAUUGGUGAAAUGCCGAGUGGCUGCUUUUUAGGUUGGGUGUUUCAGGAGAAGUAGGCUUACUGCCAUAACAGAAAGCGGUUUAUCAAAUCCAUUUAGGACUGACUGAGAUGAUCUCAAGUGAAGCAUUCCUUAUUAUUAUUUGUGUUUGUUACAGGUACAAAAUUAAAUUAGCAUGAAAAUGAUUUGAGAAUGUCCUUUAAUUAAUUAAAGUCACAUUUUGUGUUAUAUGGUGAAUGUGGACAGGGAUAAGUGGAUGAGUGGAUUGAUAGGGGUGAUUGUGACUGGUAAUUAGGUUCAAAUUUGAAUGAAAAUGGUCUUGUUAGACUGACUCUAGAAUGAAAGUCUUUAUCAGAAAUCACAGCCAUAUUUAUCUAGAAAUCUUGACGAAGAAUCUGAGGAAUAUGUAUUACAGUAUUUGUUGAAAUCCACUUUUUUCGCAUUGUAUAAUUCCUCUGCUUUACUAAUAUUCAUGUUUCUAUUCUACCUGACCAUGUAGAAUUAUUCAGUUUGUUUGAUUUCCCUGAAAUGCUGUUGUGUCAGAGGAGCCAUUUCCCUCUUCUUACUUUUUCCUUUCCUAGAGCCAUGUCAAACCUCUUUCCAAAUGGAGCUGUUUUGCAUCAUUGUGGAUAUUGUUUACAAUUGGCUGGACGCUCAGUGAAGGCAAAUAGCUUCUCUGACCCUCAUCAUGAUCUGGAACAGAUACAAAUCAACCGGACUAAAUUUGCUUAACCAAAAGCGUGCAGUAUCAACAAGCACGGCCAUGCACUCCGGCGGUAGCAAGAAUGAAUGAACAGAAAUGCAUCACUGCCUAAUCUAAUCAGCCACUCCACAACCGUCUCUAAUAGCCUAAUGUCCAUUUUUAUGAGUUGUACUUAAAAAUAUGAACAAUAUGGAAAUAAACAAUUCAUUUUUAUUUCUGUCAAUUCCUUUACGGCCAUUUCUCUGCAUCUCUGGUGAAGUUGUUGGACUGUCUGUCUGAGUCCUGUGGUGGUGUGCUCUGAACCUUGUUGACAUUUUACCAAAUAUUGUCUGUAGUUUUAUACAGUUCCUGUUCAACAUUGUGAUGUAUGUGCUGUGCACAUGACAAUACCCUAACUUAAGUGGAAGUUAAUAAAGCUCAGAACAACAACAACAAAAAAAGAGCUGUGUGCUUUUAAUGCCUCCCUUUAGAAGGAAAAGCAGGGCUGAUCAGAAGCAGGGUUUAACCCGUUCCCACAAACCACAUCCACAGCUGGCAUACUGUAGCAUCAUCUUAACCAGGCAUCAAUAGUCCUUGGUCACAUAAAACACUAGUAAGAAUAGAUCACUUUGGAGUUUAAGUAUAGAAAAAAAAGUUUGCUGUUGAGCCUAAAAAUACGCUUGCAGACACUGCUAGACUAUGCGUGGGCAGCAUUUCUGCAGGGACAGCAGAGCCAAGUCACUGUCUUGCCUUUGUUUACUUCGUCCAGGGCCUGGUUUGCAGAUUGGGCGUCUUUUACAGACCGAAUGGUUACUCCCAGGAGUGUAAUCCUCCUCCUUUAGUUCAGAAAGCUUCAUGCAGUAGACGCCUGGGAGGGUGCAGGAGGGAAAGAGUUUCUGCCCUUCCAGGCAUGCACUUCCCUGAAAAGAGAGCUGGAGAGGGCCCUUCCUUUUUCAGAGUGUUGACUAAUGAAGGAAUCCCCCCCCCCACUCCAAACUUCUACAGCAACUUUACUUUCUUUAAUUCUUUGUUUAAUUCAUUUUAUGACAAUACACCACCAGUUAAGUCCAAAACAGUUUGCUAAGACAACAAGCACAAUGGAGAUGACAUUUACAAGCCAGUUCUCUCUCUGACUGAAGGAAUUUUGGCACAAGGGUGUACAAGCUUGAAGGCUUCUCUCUAUUUACAAAGAAUUAGCAUUUAGAAAUCCCUGCAAAGCUCCAAAAUCUCUGUCAUUUUAAUGUUCGUUUUGCCAACAAAUGGACAACAGAAAUAGAUCUAGGGUCAGUAGAAGGCUGACAGUGGACUUGAAUGACUACAGAAGACUCAAAACCAUUUAACUGUUUAAAUCUGAAUUGAGGUCAUAGUGGAAUUGUAAUUAGACACGCAUUACAAAGAAAGUAGAUCAUGAUUGCUGAUUAAUAAUAAGAAAAAAAGAACAAUCACAGAUUCAUGAACAUUCCCAUAAUCCAUGUCUAGCAACAGAAAUGACCUCCAAAAGGUUCUUUUGAUAGCGUCAGUGAAUCUGCAGCAUCCACAAACUUCUAUUCAAAUAAACAUCGUGCCACAACAAAAGAGAAGGCAAACGGAGACAGGUGUGGUCACUUAAUACACAAGUAUUCCUGGCCAUGAGCUGGAGCUAAAUGGAGCUCUGUCAUUGCCUGAAAGAAUGACAGCUUUCUGCUCCAAUAAACGGAAUGUAUGAGGGUUGUAAAGGCCCCCCUUAAAAUAGCUGCCCUGUUCCACCUACCUGCGUCAGCUCCGUCGUCUGUCAACCAAAUAAACAUCCAACCGCCUCUCAAGUGCCUCUUCUCCACUAAACAGUUUGCCCCCGAAACUGCCUUUAUAUCACAACAGGCCUUUCAAGUUCUCCAGCACAAAGACUUCACAGGGCACCCCGAUGGCUUGAAACAGCUCACAACGAUGCGUUUGCUAACAGGAAGUGCAUUGGCUACUAAUUGUCUAAUCGGUGAUUGGUAGAAGAGCUCAAGCAGAUGUUGGGGGAAAUGGAGCUGCUAGUGCUUGGCUAAUUUGUGUGUGUGUGUAUAUAUAUAAAUAUACACACCACUGUAACAAAAUAUGGCACAUAAUCUUAGGAGGAUAGUAAUAUUCAAUGUAGUUUAUAGUUUAGGUAUAGUAUUUAGUCACAUCACUAGUAGUAGGGUUUCAACCUUUAUGUCAUUCUAUAUAAAAGUGUUAUAAAUAAGUCGUUGAUUUGCUUGGUCCGUAGUAAAAUCAGUGCAUACUAUUAGAACUGAACAUUCAAAUUUGGGUUAACCACUGACUCAGAUCUCUGUGAUGGUCAGAUCUCUGGAUUAGCUUUCAUUUUAUAUA